rnacentral:rRNA from 1 species
UACGAAGGGGGCUAGCGUUGCUCGGAAUCACUGGGCGUAAAGCGCACGUAGGCGGCUUUUUAAGUCAGAGGUGAAAUCCUGGAGCUCAACUCCAGAACUGCCUUUGAUACUGGAGAGCUUGAGUCCGGGAGAGGUGAGUGGAACUGGCGAGUGUAGAGGUGAAAUUCGUAGAUAUUCGCAAGAACACCAGUGGCGAAGGCGGCUCACUGGCCCGGUACUGACGCUGAGGUGCGAAAGCGUGGGGAGCAAACAGGG